rnacentral:lncRNA from 1 species
ACUCUACACAAUUUCCCUUUCUUUGAUCCCUAUUUUUUUUUCUUAUUACAUCCACACAACCAUGAGCAUUUUCUUUGAUUUUUUUUUCUUUACUUUUUUCUUUGCUCAAUGGCUUCAAGGGUAUUUUCUUUUUCUUGUUUCUUUUCAAAUUUUCACCCUUUCAUAAAAACUCACUUUUCCAAGUUUCUAAUCAACUUUUCACUUUACUCUCCCCAACUUAGGUUUCAAAACCAAAUUUAUUCAAUAAUGCUCCCUACUUAGAAAUAAGCAAAAGGCAAAAUUUUGCAAACAACUCGGUUUGAGGUUUCAACUGAUAC